AUACUUACCUGGACAGGGUCUAUGGCUGAUCAAGAAAAGCCAUGGCCUAGGCUAGUGGCCCACAUUGCACUUUGUUGGCGUGCUGGCCUACCAUCUCCUCUUUGAGAAAAAGUGGACGUCAUAAUUUGUGAUAGAAGGGGUACGCGUUUGUGCGGCCCCUGC
rfam:Triticum urartu cultivar G1812 contig763373, whole genome shotgun sequence.